rnacentral:rRNA from 1 species
GAAGUAAAAAGUCGUAACAAGGUCUCCGUUGGUGAACCAGCGGAGGGAUCAUUACCGAGUUUAC